CAAUUUAGAACGCGUGACGUCACGCACAGGAUUGUUUUAGUUUACUUUAGUCGUCUAGGCAACCGAAGAGGCAGCUGGAUCGCGCCGGACGAUUCUGGUAUAAACUCGGAGUGGUUUCGACGGCAUCAACGCGAAAAUUUCAGGGACACACCAAACUGACUGUCAGCCAUCAGGUCACCCUACAUGCUGAAUCUGCGUCACAGUAAACAGAUGAUGACGACGACAGACUACCACACCUUCAGGUCAUCCUACCUCUUCAAUUUAUACUAGUAGGACAAUCUAACAGCAUUUUGCACCUUCAGGUCAUCCUACUUGUUUCAUUUAUACUAGUAGGACAAUCUGACAGCAUUUGGUACAGUCAGGUUAUCCUCCAUGUUUAAUUUAUACUAGUAGGACAAUCUGAAAACAUUUUGCACCUUCAGGUCAUCCUCCAUGUUUAAUUUAAACUAGUAGGACAACCUGAAAGCAUUUUGCACCUUCAGGUCAUCCUACCUGUUUAAUUUAAACUAGUAGGACAACCGGAAAUCAUUUUGCACCUUCAGGUCAUCCUACCUGUUUAAUUUAAACUAGUAGGACAAACUGAAAGCAUUUUGCACCUUCAGGACAUCGUUCAUGUUUAAUUUAUACUAGUAGGACAAUCUGACAGCAUUUGGUACAGUCAGGUUAUCCCACAUGUUUAAUUUAUACUAAUAGCACAAUCGUGGGCAGUGGGCAGAUGCCUCUAAUCUGCACGGGAAAUGAACGACCCCGCCUUCCAUGAGUUUCCUGCUGCCUUGCAGGUUGGCCUUGUCUGGUCAAAGGCUAUGGGAGUAAAUCCAAAUAGAAAAUCCGGUACGGAGACCCUUAUACUAGUAGGACAAUCUGACAGGAUUUUGUACAGUCAGGUCAUCCUACCUCUUUAAUUUAGACUAGUAGGACAACCUGACAGCAUAUUGUACAGUCAGGUCAUCCUAGCUGUUUAAUUUAUACUAGUAGGACAAUCUGAAAGCAUUUUGCACAUUCAGGUCAUCCUACAUUUGAAAUCUAUACUAGUAGGACAAUCUGAAAGCAUUUUGCACCUUCAGGUCAUCCAACCUGUUUAAUUUAAACUAGUAGGACAACCUGAAAGCAUUUUGCACUUUCAGGUCAUCCUACCUGUUUAAUUUAUAGUAAUAGGACAAUCUGAAAACAUUUUGCACCUUCAGGUCAUCCUACCUGUUUAAUUUAAACUAGUAGGACAACCUGAAAGCAUUUUGCACCUUCAGGUCAUCCUACCUGUUUAAUUUAAACUAGUAGGACAACCGGAAAGCAUUUUGCAUCUUCAGGUCAUCGUACCUGUUUAAUUUAAACUAGUAGGACAAUCUGAAAGCAUUUUGCACCUUCAGGUCAUCCUACCUGUUUAAUUUAAACUAGUAGGACAACCGGAAAGCAUUUUGCCCCUUCAGGUCAUCCUACCUGUUUAAUUCAAACUAGUAGGACAAUCUGAAAGCAUUUUUCACCUUCAGGUCAUCAUACAUGUUUAAUUUAUAGUAAUAGGACAAUCUGACAGCAUUUGGUAUAGUCAGGUUAUCCUCCAUGUUUAACUUAUACUAGUAGGACGAUCUGAAAGCAUUUUGCACCUUCAGGUCAUCCUACCUGUUUAAUUCAAACUAGUAGGACAAUCUGAAAGCAUUUUGCACCUUCAGGUCAUCCUACAUUUUAAAUCUAUACUAGUAGGAGAACCUGAAAGCAUUUUGCACCUUCAGGUCAUCCUACCUGUUUAAUUUAUAGUAAUAGGACAAUCUGACAGCAUUUGGUACAGUCAGGUUAUCCUCCAUGUUUAACUUAUACUAGUAGGACAAUCUGAAAGCAUUUUGCACUUUCAGGUCAUCCUACCCGUUUAACUUAUACUAGUAGGACAAUCUGAAAGCAUUUUGCACCUUCAGGUCAUCCUACCUGUUUAAUUUAACCAAGCAGUUAAACAGCGGAUGAUAUAGAUCUGCAGAAGAUGAUUGGUUGAUGAACACAGGUAAUCUCCGCACAUACACUUCUUUAAUGUCCCAGAUAUAACAAGACGAUUAACUUUACUUUCCUUGUAGGUAAACAGAUGAUGACGACGACAGACUACCACACCUUCAGGUCAUCCUACCUCUUCAAUUUAUACUAGUAGGACAAUCUAACAGCAUUUUGCACCUUCAGGUCAUCCUACUUGUUUAAUUUAUACUAGUAGGACAAUCUGAAAGCAUUUGGUACAGUCAGGUUAUCCUCCAUGUUUAAUUUAUACUAGUAGGACAAUCUGAAAGCAUUUUGCACCUUCAGGUCAUCCUACCUGUUUAAUUUAAACUAGUAGGACAACCUGAAAUAAUUUUGUACCUUCAGGUCAUCCUACCUGUUUAAUUAAUAGUAAUAGGACAAUCUGACAGCAUUUGGUACAGUCAGGUUAUCCUUCAUGUUUAAUUAUACUAGUAGGGCAAUCUGAAAGCAUUGUGCAUCUUAAGGUCAUCCUACCUGUUUAAUUUAAACUAGUAAGACAACCUGAAAGCAUUUUGCACCUUCAGGUCAUCCUACCUGUUUAAUUUAAACUAGUAGGACAAACUGAAAGCAUUUUGCACCUUCAGGACAUCGUUCAUGUUUAAUUUAUACUAGUAGGACAAUCUGACAGCAUUUGGUACAGUCAGGUUAUCCCACAUGUUUAAUUUAUACUAAUAGCACAAUCGUGGGCAGUGGGCAGAUGCCUCUAAUCUGCACGGGAAAUGAACGACCCCGCCUUCCAUGAGUUUCCUGCUGCCUUGCAGGUUGGCCUUGUCUGGUCAAAGGCUAUGGGAGUAAAUCCAAAUAGAAAAUCCGGUACGGAGACCCUUAUACUAGUAGGACAAUCUGACAGGAUUUUGUACAGUCAGGUCAUCCUACCUCUUUAAUUUAGACUAGUAGGACAACCUGACAGCAUAUUGUACAGUCAGGUCAUCCUAGCUGUUUAAUUUAUACUAGUAGGACAACCCGGCAGCAUUUGGUAUAGUCAGGUUAUCCUCCAUGUUUAAUUUAUACUAGUAGGACAAUCUGAAAGCAUUUUGCACAUUCAGGUCAUCCUACAUUUGAAAUCUAUACUAGUAGGACAAUCUGAAAGCAUUUUGCACCUUCAGGUCAUCCAACCUGUUUAAUUUAAACUAGUAGGACAACCUGAAAGCAUUUUGCACUUUCAGGUCAUCCUACCUGUUUAAUUUAUAGUAAUAGGACAAUCUGAAAACAUUUUGCACCUUCAGGUCAUCCUACCUGUUUAAUUUAAACUAGUAGGACAACCGGAAAGCAUUUUGCCCCUUCAGGUCAUCCUACCUGUUUAAUUUAAACUAGUAGGACAACCUGAAAGCAUUUUGCACCUUCAGGUCAUCCUACCUGUUUAAUUUAAACUAGUAGGACAACCGGAAAGCAUUUUGCAUCUUCAGGUCAUCGUACCUGUUUAAUUUAAACUAGUAGGACAAUCUGAAAGCAUUUUGCACCUUCAGGUCAUCCUACCUGUUUAAUUUAAACUAGUAGGACAACCGGAAAGCAUUUUGCCCCUUCAGGUCAUCCUACCUGUUUAAUUUAAACUAGUAGGACAACCUGAAAGCAUUUUGCACCUUCAGGUCAUCCUACCUGUUUAAUUUAAACUAGUAGGACAACCUGAAAUCAUUUUGCACCUUCAGGUCAUCCUACCUGUUUAAUUUAAACUAGUAGGACAACCGGAAAGCAUUUUGCACCUUCAGGUGAUCGUACCUGUUUAAUUUAAACUGCUAGGACAACCUGAAAGCAUUUUGCACCUUCAGGUCAUCCUACCUGUUUAAUUUAAACUAGUGGGACAAUCUGACAGCAUUUGGUACAGUCAGAUUAUCCUCCAUGUUUAUUUAUACUAGUAGGACAACCCGACAGCAUUUGGUACAGUCAGGUUAUCCUCCACAUUUAUUUAUACUAGUAGGACAACCCGACAGCAUUUGGUACAGUCAGGUUAUCCUUCAUGUUUAAUUAUACUAGUAGGGCAAUCUGAAAGCAUUGUGCAUCUUAAGGUCAUCCUACCUGUUUAAUUUAAACUAGUAAGACAACCUGAAAGCAUUUUGCACCUUCAGGUCAUCCUACCUGUUUAAUUUAAACUAGUAGGACAACCGGAAAGCAUUUUGCAUCUUCAGAUCAUCGUACCUGUUUAAUUUAAACUAGUAGGACAACCUGACAGCAUUUUGCACCUUCAGGUCAUCCUACCUGUUUAAUUUAUACUAAUAGCACAAUCGUGGGCAGUGGGCAGAUGCCUCUCAUCUGCACGGGAAAUGAACGACCCCGCCUUCCACAAGUUUCCUGCUGCCUUGCAGGUUGGCCUUGUCUGGUCAAAGGCUAUGGGAGUAAACCCAAAUAGAAAAUCCGGUACGGAGACCCUUAUACUAGUAGGACAAUCUGACAGCAUUUUGUACAGUCAGGUCAUCCUACCUCUUUAAUUUACACUAGUAGGACAACCUGACAGCACAUUGUACAGUCAGGUCAUCCUAGCUGUUUAAGGUAUACUAGUAGGACAACCCGACAGCAUUUGGAAAAGUCAGGUUAUCCUCCAUGUUUAAUCUAUACUAGUAGGACAAUCUGAAAGCAUUUUGCACCUUCAGGUCAUCCUACCUGUUUAAUUUAAACUAGUAGGACAACCUGAAAGCAUUUUGCACCUUCAGGUCAUCCUCCCUGUUUAAUUUAAACAAGCAGUUAAAUAGCGGAUGAUAUAGAUCUGCAGAAGAUGAUUGGUUGAGGAACACAGGUAAUCUCCGCACAUACACUUCUUUAAUGUCCCAGAUAUAACAAGAUGGUUAACUUUACUUUCCUUGUAGGUAAACAGAUGAUGACGACGACAGACUACCACACCUUCAGGGUCUUACUAAACUGGGUGAAUGGUUAUGGUAGGACAAAUGAUGCAGUGUGUAUAUGAAUCUAUUGUCUGUAGUGUAACAUAUUGUGUAGAUUAUUUGUUGUAGUAAAAAAUAAAGUUGUCCUCCGAAGAGGGGGGGUGGUGGCGGGCCAAAAAAGUAGGAUAAUCUGAAAGCAUUUUGCACUUUCAGGUCAUCCUACUUGUUUAAUUUAUACUAGUUUGACAACCUGAAAGCAUUUUGCACCUUCAGGUCAUCCUACCUGUUUAACUUAUACUAGUAGAACAAUCUGAAAGCAUUUUGCACGUUCAGGUCAUCCUACCUGUUUAAUUUAUACUAGUAGGACAAUCUGAAAGCAUUUUGCACCUUCAGGUCAUCCUCCAUGUUUAAAUUAUACUAGCAGGACAAUCUGACAGCAUUUGGUACAGUCAGGUUAUCAUCCAUGUUUAAUUUAUACUAGUAGGACAAUCUGAAAGCAUUUUGCACCUUCAGGUCAUCCUACCUGUUUAAUUUA